rnacentral:rRNA from 1 species
CCAGACUCCUACGGGAGGCAGCAGUGGGGGAUAUUGCACAAUGGGGGAAACCCUGAUGCAGCGACGCCGCGUGGGUGAAGAAGCGCCUCGGCGCGUAAAGCCCUGUCAGCAGGGAAGAAAAUGACGGUACCUGAAGAAGAAGCCCCGGCUAACUACGUGCCAGCAGCCGCGGUAAUACGUAGGGGGCAAGCGUUAUCCGGAUUUACUGGGUGUAAAGGGGGCGCAGACGGCAGCGCAAGCCAGGAGUGAAAGCCCGGGGCCCAACCCCGGGACUGCUCUUGGAACUGCGCGGCUGGAGUGCGGGAGGGGCAGGCGGAAUUCCUGGUGUAGCGGUGAAAUGCGUAGAUAUCAGGAGGAACACCGGUGGCGAAGGCGGCCUGCUGGACUGCGACUGACGUUGAGGCCCGAAAGCGUGGGGAGCAAACAGGAUUAGAUACCCCCGUAA